rnacentral:rRNA from 1 species
GAUGAACGCUGGCGGUAUGCUUUACACAUGCAAGUCGUACGAGAGUUUUUAACUCAAGUGGCGGACGGGUGAGUAACACGUAAGAAUUUGCCUUUAGGAGGGGGAUAACAACUGGAAACGGUUGCUAAUACCCCAUAUGCUUUCGAGUGAAACGGUUUUUCCGCCUAAAGAGAAGCUUGCGGCUGAUUAGCUUGUUGGUGAGGUAAUGGCUCACCAAGGCGACGAUCAGUAUCUGGUUUGAGAGGACGAUCAGACACACCGGAACUGAGACACGGUCCAGACUCCUACGGGAGGCAGCAGUGGGGAAUUUUCCGCAAUGGGCGAAAGCCUGACGGAGCAAUACCGCGUGAGGGAUGACGGCCUAUGGGUUGUAAACCUCUUUUUUCAGGGAGGAAUCAAUGACGUGUACCUGAAGAAUAAGCAUCGGCUAACUCCGUGCCAGCAGCCGCGGUAAGACGGAGGAUGCAAGUGUUAUCCGGAAUCACUGGGCGUAAAGCGUCUGUAGGUGGUCAAAUAAGUCAACUGUUAAAUCUUGAGGCUCAACCUCAAAAUCGCAGUCGAAACUAUUAGAC